rnacentral:tRNA from 1 species
GGUUCGUGACGCCUCUGGUGAGGCGAGUGGCUUGUCACGCCAUCGAGACGGGUUCGACUCCCGUACGAACCG